AACGAACGCUGGCGGCACGCCUAACACAUGCAAGUCGAACGAGACCUUCGGGUCUAGUGGCGCACGGGUGCGUAACGCGUGGGAACCUGCCCUUAGGUUCGGAAUAACUCCCCGAAAGGGGUGCUAAUACCGGAUAAUGUCUUCGGACCAAAGAUUUAUCGCCUUUGGAUGGGCCCGCGUUGGAUUAGCUAGUUGGUAGGGUAAAAGCCUACCAAGGCGACGAUCCAUAGCUGGUCUGAGAGGAUGAUCAGCCACACUGGGACUGAGACACGGCCCAGACUCCUACGGGAGGCAGCAGUGGGGAAUAUUGGACAAUGGGCGAAAGCCUGAUCCAGCAAUGCCGCGUGAGUGAUGAAGGCCUUAGGGUUGUAAAGCUCUUUUUCCCGGGAUGAUAAUGACAGUACCGGGAGAAUAAGCUCCGGCUAACUCCGUG
rnacentral:rRNA from 1 species